UACGAAGGGGGCUAGCGUUGCUCGGAAUCACUGGGCGUAAAGGGUGCGUAGGCGGACUGUUUAGUCAGAGGUGAAAGCCCAGGGCUCAACCUUGGAAUUGCCUUUGAUACUGGCAGUCUUGAGUACGGAAGAGGUAUGUGGAACUCCGAGUGUAGAGGUGAAAUUCGUAGAUAUUCGGAAGAACACCAGUGGCGAAGGCGACAUACUGGUCCGUUACUGACGCUGAGGCUCGAAAGCGUGGGGAGCAAACAGG
rnacentral:rRNA from 1 species